GGGCUUUUAUUAUAUAGAUAAUAGGAAAGUAGGUCCAUGGCAAUUCCAGGUAGAUUUGGGCCCACUUUGGGCAAGACAUCUCACAGCACAUACAGAGUGGAACUAAAGUAGGUGUACAGUUGUUUGUAUGGAAAACAGUGCAAUAAUUAAUAAAUACUAAUACAAGAAUAAACUGUUUUUGCAUAUUCACAACUAUAAACCUACUUUUCCCCACCCUGUAUAGAAUGGUGCUGUCCUGUAGAAUCUCAGUCCCUUGGGAAAUCUCUAUACACAGGAGAGAGAAGGUGAGACAUAAGCCCAUCUAAUUUUAUCCAUCCACCUGCAGAAUCAACACAAAUGUGAGGUUAACCACACCAGCAGCCAGACUGCCUGGGGUAAACUGUUUAAGGAAGGUGCAAGACAAACAGUUUCAUCAGGUACAAGCUGGCUACCUAGAUCCCAUUUGGUAGGGACACAUUAAGAUAAAUAGAAAGGGAUAGGGAGGGCCAGUCAGUUAACAAUUAUUAAAGUCCCUAGAGUCUAGGUGAUAAGAAUAACAAGGGCAUAUAAUAGGGUAACAAUUAAAUUAGGCAUUUCAGUGUCUAAUAUAUGAAAGGCAGUGUUGCACAUAAGAAUAGCAUAGUAAGAAUAAAUUUUAGGUACAUAAUAUUAAAGUGGAGCCAAUAACACUUGUUAUAACAAGAAAAGUCUCACACUCUAACUUUAAAACACAAUUCAACUUAAGACUAGUUAGACUAGUAAGAUUUUCUACAGUGGCAUUUUAAAGGGAAUUCUUAGAAGUUAUUAGGUGGUUUUCACCACUAUUCAUUCAUAGCUUUCCCAUUUCUUCUGUUUCUCCUUUCCCUUUAUAACUAACUUCACCUUGACUCUUUCUCAUCAUGCUUGAGAAUUCCAGUUUCCUCUUUUAUCAUCUUCCUGUCUGUUGUGCCAGAAUGUACCUACAAUGUCACAUGGAAUACAGAAGAUAAAAGAUGCAGACAUUACUACUCCACAGUUCCACAUACGGCUUUCAACUAUUUCUAAUUUAUGGGUUAGCUUAUUAUAAUUUAAAUGAGGAAAAUAACAGUUUAAAAAAACCUUAUAAAAGCCUAUGUUGAUAUAUCUUACAAAUGGUUUAAUAACUAAUUGGUAUUUUGUGCUGUUGAAGUGUAAACCUUACUUGAGAAUGCAUAGAUGGAUCCAUGGACAUUUCUUGUCAGAAAAGAACAAUUGAAUAGAAAAGUAACAACUGUAGCCCUGGCCAGAUAGCUCAGUUGUUAGAAUGUUGUCCCCACACGCCAGGGUUGAAGGUUCGAUCCCCAGUCAGGGCACAUAUAAGAAUCAACCAAUUAAUGUGUAAGUAAGUAGAACUAAAAAUUGAUGUUUUUCUCUCCCUUCCUCUCUCUCUAAAAUUAAAAUUAAAAAAGGAAAAAUAACAACUGUAGAUGCAUUUUUAAGUCACCAAAAGGUAUUGUCACAAAAUAUUGUUAAAAUAAGUAUUUGCUAAACAUUUAAAUGAAAUUAUUCUCUAGAAUGAUGUGGUUUUCUACAUGCAAUUAACAAAGUCCCAGUAUAAAACAAAACCCAACUUUUCUCCAACCUCCUCCUCAAUUUUUGCCAGUUUUCACUUUUCACAUCCUCUGGCUCUGGACAAAGAGCAGACUUUGAAUGUGAGUGGUAGUAACUUGGGUGUUUUUUGUUUUGAAGAUGGACCCUUCAAAAUACUGACUGUAUGGCUCACUCACAAUUUUAAAAGAGUUAGUUCCUGAAGAUCAAAAUACCAAUUUUCUAAGUGUCUUUUCUCUAAGGAUUUAUUAAAUGAAUUGAUUGAAAUUUUCCUAUAA